rnacentral:rRNA from 1 species
AAUAUUGCGCAAUGGGGGAAACCCUGACGCAGCAACGCCGCGUGAGGGAAGAAGGCCUUCGGGUCGUAAAGCACUGUCAUAAGGCAAGAAGUCUCUCGAAUGAGAGGUCACGGUACCUCAGGAGGAAGCCCCGGCUAACUACGUUCCAGCAGCCGCGGUAAUACGUGUGGGGCAAGCGUUGCCCGGAAUUAUGGGGCGGAAAGGGUGCGUAGGCGGCCUUUUAAGGCAGGUGUGAAAGCCCACGGCUUAACCGUGGGAUUGCAUUUGAAACUGGAAGGCUUGAGGAUCGGCGAGGGUAGAGGAAUUCCCAGUGUAGCGGUAGAAUGCGUAGAUAUUGGGAGGAACACCAGUGGCGAAGGCGACUACCUGGACGAAAACUGACGCUGAGGCACGAAAGCUAGGGGAGCAAAC